rnacentral:rRNA from 1 species
AGUGAACGCUGGCGGUAGGCCUAACACAUGCAAGUCGAACGGCAGCACAGUAAGAGCUUGCUCUUACGGGUGGCGAGUGGCGGACGGGUGAGGAAUACAUCGGAAUCUACUUUUUCGUGGGGGAUAACGUAGGGAAACUUACGCUAAUACCGCAUACGACCUACGGGUGAAAGCAGGGGAUCUUCGGACCUUGCGCGUUUGAAUGAGCCGAUGUCGGAUUAGCUAGUUGGCGGGGUAAAGGCCCACCAAGGCGACGAUCCGUAGCUGGUCUGAGAGGAUGAUCGGCCACACUGGAACUGAGACACGGUCCAGACUCCUACGGGAGGCAGCAGUGGGGAAUAUUGGGCAAUGGGCGCAAGCCUGAUCCAGCCAUACCGCGUGGGUGAAGAAGGCCUUCGGGUUGUAAAGCCCUUUUGUUGGGAAAGAAAGGCAGCAGGUUAAUACCCCGCUGUUCUGACGGUACCCAAAGAAUAAGCACCGGCUAACUUCGUG